GUGCAGCAGUCGCGAAAACUUCGCAAUACACGAAAGUGUGACGAGGCCAUCCCGAGUGCCAUCCGCUGAGGAUGGCUUUUCCCCAGUGUAGAUAGCUGGGGGAAUAAGGAGAGGGCAAGUCUGGUGUCAGCCGCCGCGGUAAUACCAGCUCUCCGAGUGGUAGGGAUGAUUAUUGGGCUUAAAGCGUCCGUAGCUGGCCUUUCAAGUCUCUUGUUAAAUCCAGCGAUUCAAUCGUUGGACUGCGGGAGAUACUGUUAGGCUAGGGGGCGGGAGAAGCCGACGGUAUUUCCGGGGUAGGGGUAAAAUCCUAUAAUCCCGGGAAGACCACCAGUGGCGUAGGCGGUCGGCUAGCACGCGCUCGACAGUGAGGGACGAAAGCUGGGGUAGCGAACCGGAUUAGAUACCCGGGUAGUCC
rnacentral:rRNA from 1 species